AGUGAACGCUGGCGGCGUGCUUAACACAUGCAAGUCGAACGAGAACGGGUUAUAGCUUGCUAUAAUUGUCAGCUAAGUGGCGCACGGGUGAGUAAUGUAUAGGUAAUAUGCCUCUUACUAAGGGAUAACAAAUGGAAACGUUUGCUAAUACCUUAUACUCCUUAUUAACAGAAGUUAAUAAGGGAAAGAUUUAUUGGUAAGAGAUUAGCCUGUAUUGUAUCAGUUAGUUGGUGGGGUAAUGGCUUACCAAGACUAUGACACAUAACUGGUUUGAGAGGAUGAUCAGUCACACUGGAACUGAGACACGGUCCAGACUCCUACGGGAGGCAGCAGUGGGGAAUAUUGCACAAUGGACGAAAGUCUGAUGCAGCAACGCCGCGUGGAGGAUGACACAUUUCGGUGCGUAAACUCCUUUUAUAUGAGAAGAUAAUGACGGUAUUAUAUGAAUAAGCACCGGCUAACUCCGUGCCAGCCGCCGCCGUAACAC
rnacentral:rRNA from 1 species